GGCGGCAGCGACCCCGCGGCUGCAGACCUGGCGUCCGGGUGCCUCCUGGCUCCUCAGUGAUCCAGCCCAGCCUGGAAAAGGAUCGCCCGGGCUCCAGGACUCACUGCGGAGGGUCCCACAGGGCCUGCGUCCUCAAACUCCUCUGAGGAGCCAGGAGAGUGACGACAGGUCUUAAGGCUCCUACAGAGCCUUCGCUGCUGAGCCUGGUGCAGUCCCUCCCCCUCCCCCCCGCAAGCUGCCUGCACACAAGGAGGAGACCCCGAGGUCAGCAGAGGCACCGCAGAGAGGGCGCGCCCGGCAGAGAGCUGGUGAUGAAGACAUGCCAGCGUGAGGGCCAGGGCCUGCCCCGCUGGCCACCAGCCUGCCUGCCCCCAUAGCCGCUGUGGCUGGAAUUGGGGCCUGCUACUGCAGGGCCUGUCUCACUCCAGCCCCGGAAGCCCUGCCCACAGCACAGCGGCCACCCUCUCCUGCCAGAGCUUUCCAGGAGCUCUGAGGCUGAGGCCACAGCCCCAGCCCCUGCCCGCAGCCCCAGGCCCGGGCCCCACCGCGGGAGAUCUCAGAAGCCCUGCACCUGGGGUUUAAGCGGGCUCUCUGCCAGGCCCCACCACUGCCGGGGCCCAGACCCCCAGCUCUGCCGGCACCAACGCCCUGGUGCUGGCCAGCCAUUCAUGUCUGCAGGCCAAGCAGGCCCUGGCUGGGGGUUCUCCUUUCUGUCUAGCCGGUGGGGGUUUCCAGAUUUAGGAGAAUGAUGGCUGCCAGCCCCUUCAUCCUGCACCCCUGCCGGCACCACCCCCCAGAUUUUAUUUUUGUACAUAAGCCAUAACCCAGGGGUGCAGGGAGGCCCUGGGGUCCUCAAGAGUGUGUGUGGCCCGUUCCCCCCCAACCCGGCGGGUCAGGCAUUGAAUGUCGGGCUGGGCCACGUGUACCUCAUCACCUUACCUGAAGACAGACUCUUUUGUAAGAUUUUGUUAAUAAAAUAAUGAAACUUC